GAUGAAGAACGUAGCGAAAUGCGAAAAGUAAUGUGAAUUGCAGAAUUCAGUGAAUCAUCGAAUCUUUGAACGCACAUUGAGCCCGCCAGUAUUCUGGCGGGCAUGCCUGUCUGAGCGUCAUUUCAACCCUCACGCCCCUAGGGCGUGGUGUUGGGGAUCGGCCAAGGCCCGCAAGGGACGGCCGGCCCCUAAAUCUAGUGGCGGACCCAUCGUGGCCUCCCCUGCGAAGUAGUAAUAUAUUCCGCAUCGGAUAGCGAUGAGCCCCUGCCGUUAAACCCCCAACUCUUUCAAGGUUGACCUCAGAUCAGGUAGGAAUACCCGCUGAACUUAAGCAUAUCAAUAAGCGGAGGA
rnacentral:misc_RNA from 1 species